GGAAGCGUGCCCGAAAGAUAAGGACCUCCUUGAUAGAG
rnacentral:tRNA from 1 species